rnacentral:rRNA from 1 species
AGAAUGAACGCUGGCGGCGUGCUUUACACAUGCAAGUCGAGCGAGGCGGCCCGCAAGGGUCAGUCGAGCGGCGAACGGGUGAGUAACGCGUGGAUAACCUGCCCUGAGGUGUGGAACAACCAGGGGGAAACUCUGGCUAAUACCGCAUGAUACCGAGAGGUCAAAGGGGGCUCGCAAGAGCUCUCGCCACAGGGAGGGGUCCGCGUUCGAUUAGCUAGUUGGUAGGGUAAUGGCCUACCAAGGCGACGAUCGAUAGCCGGCCUGAGAGGGUGAUCGGCCACACUGGAACUGAGACACGGUCCAGACUCCUACGGGAGGCAGCAGUGGGAAUUUGCGCAAUGGGCUAACGCCUGACGCAGCAACGCCGCGUGGAGGAUGAAGGUCCUUGGAUUGUAAACUCCUGUCAGACGAGGAAAAGUCAACCGUGACCUCAUACGUCAGGUAACGUU